rnacentral:rRNA from 1 species
GUGGGGAAUAUUGGACAAUGGGCGAAAGCCUGAUCCAGCCAUGCCGCGUGUGUGAAGAAGGUCUUCGGAUUGUAAAGCACUUUAAGUUGGGAGGAAGGGUAGUAACCUAAUACGUUGCUACUUUGACGUUACCGACAGAAUAAGCACCGGCUAACUUCGUGCCAGCAGCCGCGGUAAUACGAGGGUGCAAGCGUUAAUCGGAAUUACUGGGCGUAAAGCGCGCGUAGGUGGUUCAGUAAGUUGGAAGUGAAAUCCCCGGGCUCAACCUGGGAACUGCUUUCAAAACUGCUGAGCUAGAGUACGGUAGAGGGUGGUGGAACUUCCUGUGUAGCGGUGAAAUGCGUAGAUAUAGGAAGGAACACCAGUGGCGAAGGCGACCACCUGGACUGAUACUGACACUCAGACCCGAAAGCGUGGGGAUCAAACAGGAUUAGAAACCCCGGUAGUCC